rnacentral:rRNA from 1 species
AUCUUGACCUCAGAUCAGGCAAGGCUACCCGCUGAAUUUAAGCAUAUUAAUAAGCGGAGGAAAAGAAACUAACAAGGAUUCCCUCAGUAACAGCGAGUGAAGCGGGAACAGCUCAAAUUUGAAAUCUCCGGCGCUUGCGUCGGCGAGUUGUAGUUGCGAGAAGCACUUUCUAGGCGGAUCGGUGGUGCYUAAGUUGCUUGGAACAGUACGUCAUAGAGGGUGACAACCCCG